AUAGGAUACUCUCGACGAAUGAUAAAUAUUUUUGUUUUUUCUUUGAUAAAAAUUGCUAUAAAUAUCAAAUUUUUUUCAAUGAUCGAUACAUUGGAAUUAUCUGCGAGCUUCAAACACUCCACUUAUACUCUCAAUUAAUCGUAUAUUAUCUUUCAAAAAUCAUCAAAUCAUGUUCAACUUAUUCCUGGUUAUGUUAUUUAUCGCACUUCUGGCCAUUGGUUUAGCUGCUAGAUGCGGUGAUCUGGGUAAACCCUGUAAUGCAUACACAGGAUCAGGAUGUUGCAAGGGCUUUGUUUGUGCCGCAGGAACUUGUGAUUUUUCAAGCUCUUCAUGGGAAUAAAUAAAUUUGUACCAUAAGAGUUUUAUGUUUAUAAUUUAAUUAUGAUGUAUUCAAGUAAUAAUUUAAUUGAAUAAAAAUAAAAACUCGAACUAAAAUCUACAAAA